UUUCAUUUAAUGAAUGAAGACUGCUGUGGUUGCUUCGGUUUACUUUUGGUUUCUCUGCUGCUAUUGUGAACGUUAAAAAAGAUCUAUCUCUCUCUUUCUCUCCCAAUUUGUUUAUUUGUGUCCUGGUCUCCCCUGUUUUGAAAUGCUUUUAUCCUUUCUCUUGUGUUAUUGGUGUUUAGUAGGGUGAACAGUCUGGAAAGGAGACUGAUCGUUUCGGUUCAUCCGAGUCUUCCCUCCAGGUGCAGCGGCAUCUUACUCUUGCUUUCUAAUGGCUGGACCUGCUGUAGCAUAUAACAACUGUUAGCAAAGAAGAUGCAUGUACUACAAAGCAAACAUUUAUUUUAUUUUUAUAAUUUCUGUAUUUUAAAUAUUACCUUGCCUAUGUGGGGUAAGGUUUAAACCAUAUGUGUGGUUUCCGUUGCUUUAUUCUUUCAUUUAAUUGGAAGGGACUUAAGCGGGGAUCACAAUAUUGAAGAUCAGGUGUACAAAUGAGAACAUGGCAUUCCUGUACGGUCCUUCUGGAGGGAAGUAUAAUGCACAGAGGCAUCCCCCCCCCCCCCCCCCCCCUGAGGAUUUCUUCAUACCUGAAUUGCACCAGAUUGGGUCUUAAAAGAGAGCAUGAGAGAGGUGGUGGAGCCAUUCAGAUGGUUGCUGAUGCACUUGCUAUUUGCCCUUAACUCUCUAAAAAUGUCCACUGUCUUUUUAUACUGAAAUGAAUGAUUUAGAUUAGCUUGCUAGUCAGCAGUUUUGAGUGGUGUACAGGUCUGCAUUGUUGCAAUUGUUGAACUAAAACAUAGGUAGAACAAUUUUAACAACCCAUUUAAUUGUUAAAUAUUUGUACUUGGUUUGAAAAAUAAAGUAAAUACUUUUUCAAAAUA